GAUGAACGCUGGCGGCGUGCCUAAUACAUGCAAGUCGAGCGAACAGACGAGGAGCUUGCUCCUCUGACGUUAGCGGCGGACGGGUGAGUAACACGUGGAUAACCUACCUAUAAGACUGGGAUAACUUCGGGAAACCGGAGCUAAUACCGGAUAAUAUAUUGAACCGCAUGGUUCAAUAGUGAAAGACGGUUUUGCUGUCACUUAUAGAUGGAUCCGCGCCGCAUUAGCUAGUUGGUAAGGUAACGGCUUACCAAGGCAACGAUGCGUAGCCGACCUGAGAGGGUGAUCGGCCACACUGGAACUGAGACACGGUCCAGACUCCUACGGGAGGCAGCAGUAGGGAAUCUUCCGCAAUGGGCGAAAGCCUGACGGAGCAACGCCGCGUGAGUGAUGAAGGUCUUCGGAUCGUAAAACUCUGUCCUUGGUGACGAAGAAAAUGACGGUAGCCAAGGAGGAAGCCCCGGCUAACUACGUGCCAGCAGCCGCGGUAC
rnacentral:rRNA from 1 species